rnacentral:rRNA from 1 species
GAUGAACGCUGGCGGCGUGCCUAAUACAUGCAAGUAGAACGCUGAAGCUUGGUGCUUGCACCGAGCGGAUGAGUUGCGAACGGGUGAGUAACGCGUAGGUAACCUGCCUCUUAGCGGGGGAUAACUAUUGGAAACGAUAGCUAAUACCGCAUAAAAGUCGACAUUGCAUGAUAUUGACUUGAAAGGUGCAAUUGCAUCACUAAGAGAUGGACCUGCGUUGUAUUAGCUAGUUGGUGAGGUAACGGCUCACCAAGGCGACGAUACAUAGCCGACCUGAGAGGGUGAUCGGCCACACUGGGACUGAGACACGGCCCAGACUCCUACGGGAGGCAGCAGUAGGGAAUCUUCGGCAAUGGGGGCAACCCUGACCGAGCAACGCCGCGUGAGUGAAGAAGGUUUUCGGAUCGUAAAGCUCUGUUGUAAGAGAAGAACGAGUGUGAGAGUGGAAAGUUCACACUGUGACGGUAACUUACCAGAAAGGGACGGCUAACUACGUGCCAGCAGCCGCGGUAAUACGUAGGUCCCGAGCGUUAUCCGGAUUUAUUGGGCGUAAAGCGAGCGCAGGCGGUUAGAUAAGUCUGAAGUUAAAGGCUGUGGCUUAACCAUAGUACGCUUUGGAAACUGUUUAACUUGAGUGCAGAAGGGGAGAGUGGAAUUCCAUGUGUAGCGGUGAAAUGCGUAGAUAUAUGGAGGAACACCGGUGGCGAAAGCGGCUCUCUGGUCUGUAACUGACGCUGAGGCUCGAAAGCGUGGGGAGCAAACAGG